AACCUUUAUUUUUAUUUUUAUUUUUACCAUCCUUAUUUUAUGUUAUUGUUUUGAUUUUUGUCCUGAAUUGAGUUAAAAAUAUUAGAUGGGGCCAACCCACUCCCAUCUAAUCUCUCUCUCACUCCCUCGUCUAGGGCCCAAGUCUUCGGGAAUCAUAUUUAAGCCAAAAAAAAAAAUACCAAAUACAAAACAUUAAACCUAGUUUUGAAAUACGUCUAUACAACAAAAGCAUUAAAAUUCAACAUCUGCAAUAAUGUACACUAAACCUUGAAGACAAAUGUAUUAAUUCCCAAGAUCUUGAGUAAAUCUGGAAGAUGGCGGUUGGAUAUGAAAAUGGAGCAACACAGAGAAACUAAAAGAGCUUAUGUCUGUUGGGGUUCACAUCGAAAACACCAACGCGGCGGUGGACGAAAAUAACUCACAGAUAAGCAUGGAUGACGACGUCGAUGAGAAUAUUGAAAACACCAACGCUAUGGUCGAAGGAAAUAAUUCACCGGUAAACAUGGACAACGACGUUGAUGAGAAGCCUAAUCGUCCAAUGGUCAGAAGAUUAAGGAAGAUGUUACUGAUGUUGGUGGUUGGUGAUAUCUUUACGAUAUUCAUGUAAUUCUUUUGAAGAAGAGGUUUGGUGGUUGGUGAUGUCUUUCUGUUUUAUCUUAUUUAAUAUAUCUUCUAAUUUUUAGAACCACUAGAAAGUGAUUUGAAGAAGAGGUUUGGUGAUCUCUUUAUCAUAUUCAUGUAAUUCUUUUGAAAUUAAUGGAUGAUUGUCUUUGUUUUGUUAUUAUGAUUGUGCAAGUUAAAGUUACCAAUGCUAAAAACUUUCCACCAACCACUACAACUAAGUUGUGUAUACAAUACUUGGUUCAAUGGUUAUAUUUAAUAUUUUUUGUAUGUUUUUUAAAGCUAGUAACUUUUUUGACAUUUCUUUUGUGUACUAAAGGAAUUCUCAUGACAGCUCAGAAGAAGAGGUCAUAUGAUGAUGAGGAGCCUAAAAAAAGAGUAAGCCAUUUGAGACAAAAGUUGAUGAAAACCUAAGGAAAAAGUAAAAGAGAUUUCAUAUAAUGAUGAAGAGCCAACAAAUCCACAAGCUGAACAAAAGGGUGGUGACAUAGAAAUGGUUGAUAAUCCAUCAGGGAAGAAGGCAGUGAGUGUUCCAAUAUAUUCAUACACAUUGUGUUCAUAGGGUAUAUGAUUGUAUCAUAGUAAUAUACAUUGUAAGGUUACAUCCUCUAACACCGACUAUUGCUAAAGCUAUGGGAUACGAAAACUUUGUUUAUGAGCAA